rnacentral:lncRNA from 1 species
CGGCUCUUGCGUCCAGUCGCCAUUCGGGAGGCCGCUGCGCUGCAGGGCCUGGCGGAGCCGCCCGCUACCGCGAGCCGGGCCCUCCGCGCGGUUCUUCGCCCACUGGACGCCGCCCGCGGCCGGACCGGUUCAACUUCUCGUCUUGUUGUUCUUCUUAUACUAUAGGCUGUUUGCUGUGGUUUAGUCAAAAAGCCAUGUAGAAUGCCUGCCUUUUGAAGACCAAUUUUAAGGUGUCUAGUAAUACAGCAGCGGUAUUGAAAGUUUUUAAAGAAUAUAACCGUGUG